UCCUACGGGAGGCAGCAGUGGGGAAUUUUGGACAAUGGGGGCAACCCUGAUCCAGCAAUGCCGCGUGUGCGAAGAAGGCCUUCGGGUUGUAAAGCACUUUUGUCAGGGAAGAAAUCUUUUGGGCGAAUACCCCGGAAGGAUGACGGUACCUGAAGAAUAAGCACCGGCUAACUACGUGCCUGCAGCCGCGGUAAUACGUAGGGUGCAAGCGUUAAUCGGAAUUACUGGGCGUAAAGCGUGCGCAGGCGGUUCGCUAAGACAGUCGUGAAAUCCCCGGGCUUAACCUGGGAACUGCGAUUGUGACUGGCGAGCUAGAGUACAGCAGAGGGGGGUGGAAUUCCUGGUGUAGCAGUGAAAUGCGUAGAGAUCAGGAGGAACACCGAUGGCGAAGGCAGCCCCCUGGGCUAGUACUGACGCUCAUGCACGAAAGCGUGGGGAGCAAACAGGAUUAGAUACCCUGGUAGUCCACGCCCUAAACGAUGUCGAUUAGUUGUUGGUUCUUCAUUGAAUCAGUAACGAAGCUAACGCGUGAAAUCGACCGCCUGGGGAGUACGGUCGCAAGAUUAAAACUCAAAGGAAUUGACGGA
rnacentral:rRNA from 1 species